AGAGAAGGCCUGGGUCAAAGUCUCUCAAGGUGACCGAAAGAUGCUCCCCCACCACAACUCUGUUGGCCUGUGUUAUGUAGGGCUUUUCGGAUGACCAGCUGUGGCCUGAAUUGUACUCCAAAGCCACUGGGAGAUGGCAAUUGGCAGAGAAGAGAACAAAUUGAGAGACUGAAAGGUGAACACAACAUAUAAGUGUUGGGAACGCUAUCUAAGCUCACCAUCUUCGUCUUCCACGAACUUUUUUGGGGGUCUCGAGACCACUUCCCCAUCUUCAUCAUACUCCUCCUCUGAUUCUUCCGCUUCGCUUUCCACAAAGUCGGACAUGGCUGCGGUUCUCAGCUGCGCUGCCUGGAGGGGGAAGAGGCUGGAAUUAAAAAGAGGCCUCCAAAACUGCUUUACGAUUGUGGCAGAAAACAUUCUGCAUUUGUAACUUUUACACAUACAUUUGCAACUAACGACUAACCCUCGGGUUGCUAACAACCAGAUGAGACGGCAAAGAUUAACAAAGAUGUUCAAAAACAUGUCCACUAAAUGUUGGAAAUGCAA